rnacentral:rRNA from 1 species
UACGUAGGGGGGCGAGCGUUGUCCGGAAUUAUUGGGCGUAAAGAGCGUGUAGGCGGUCCGGUAAGUCCGCUGUGAAAGUCGGGGGGCUCAACCCUCGAAUGCCGGUGGAUACUGUCGGGCUAGAGUGCGGAAGAGGCGAGUGGAAUUCCUGGUGUAGCGGUGAAAUGCGCAGAUAUCAGGAGGAACACCAAUUGCGAAGGCAGCUCGCUGGGACGUUACUGACGCUGAGACGCGAAAGCGUGGGGAGCAAACAGG